rnacentral:rRNA from 1 species
AGAAUCAACGCUGGCGGCGUGCCUAACACAUGCAAGUCGCACGAGAAAGGGACUUCGGUCCUGAGUAAAGUGGCGCACGGGUGAGUAACACGUGAAUCAUCUACCUCCGAGUGGGGAAUAACCUAGAGAAAUCUGGGCUAAUACCGCAUAACACUUACGAGUCAAAGCAGCAAUGCGCUUGGAGAGGAGUUCGCGGCAGAUUAGUUAGUUGGCGGGGUAAUGGCCCACCAAGACGAUGAUCUGUAUCCGGCCUGAGAGGGCGCACGGACACACUGGAACUGAAACACGGUCCAGACUCCUACGGGAGGCAGCAGUGGGGAAUUUUGCGCAAUGGGGGAAACCCUGACGCAGCAACGCCGCGUGGAGGAUGAAAUAUCUUGGUAUGUAAACUCCUUUCGAUGGGGAAGAUAAUGACGGUACCCAUAGAAGAAGCCCCGGCUAACUUCGCGCCAGCAGCCGC